UACGAAGGGAGCUAGCGUUGUUCGGAAUCACUGGGCGUAAAGCGCACGUAGGCGGAUUUGUCAGUCAGGGGUGAAAUCCCGGGGCUCAACCUCGGAACUGCCUUUGAUACAGCAAGUCUUGAGUUCGAGAGAGGUGGGUGGAAUUCCUAGUGUAGAGGUGAAAUUCGUAGAUAUCAGGAGGAACACCGGUGGCGAAGGCGGGUCUCUGGGCCGAUACUGACGCUGAGGAGCGAAAGCGUGGGGAGCGAACAGG
rnacentral:rRNA from 1 species